CACGUAGGGCGCAAGCGUUGUCCGGAAUCAUUGGGCGUAAAGAGCUCGUAGGCGGUUUGUUACGUCUGCUGUGAAAUCUGGGGGCUUAACCCCCAGCUUGCAGUGGAUACGGGCAGACUAGAGGUAGGUAGGGGAGAAUGGAAUUCCCGGUGUAGCGGUGAAAUGCGCAGAUAUCGGGAGGAACACCGGUGGCGAAGGCGGUUCUCUGGGCCUUACCUGACGCUGAGGAGCGAAAGCGUGGGGAGCGAACAGG
rnacentral:rRNA from 1 species